AAAAUCCAUUACAUGUAA
rnacentral:tRNA from 1 species